rnacentral:rRNA from 1 species
GACGAACGCUGGCGGCGUGCUUAACACAUGCAAGUCGUACGGUAAGGCCCUUUCGGGGGUACACGGGUGGCGAACGGGUGAGUAACACGUGAGUAACCUGCCCACAACUUUGGGAUAACGCUAGGAAACUGGUGCUAAUGCUGGAUAUGUGCUCCUGCUUCAUGGGGGGGGUUGGAAAGCUCCGGCGGUUGUGGAUGGCCUCGCGGCCUAUCAGCUUGUUGGUGGGGUAGUGGCCUACCAAGGCGGCGACGGGUAGCCGGCCUGAGAGGGUGACCGGCCACAUUGGGACUGAGAUACGGCCCAGACUCCUACGGGAGGCAGCAGUGGGGAAUAUUGCACAAUGGGCGCAAGCCUGAUGCAGCAACGCCGCGUGCGGGAUGACGGCCUUCGGGUUGUAAACCGCUUUCAGCAGGGACGAAGCUUUUUGUGACGGUACCUGCAGAAGAAGCACCGGCUAACUACGUG